rnacentral:lncRNA from 1 species
CGCCGCUGCCACCGUUGCCCCCAGAUCUGCCGCCGAGCACCGAGCUCCACCUCGGCCGCAGAUAGUAUGUCUGGCGCGUCCAGGUGCAGCAGCACCUCGGCCUCGCAUAACUCCGGCAACACGCUGAGCCCGGCGCCGGCAACCUUGCUGGCCUCCAUCCCCGCCGUGAGGUCUAACACGCCCACACCCAUGCUCUCUCUACCUCUCGCCGCCUCCCGUCGCAGCUUAUCUCCGAGCAAAAAAGCCGUGCCUUUGAUUGGAUUCUUGCGGAAUCAAUCCUGCAUGGUUCAAUCAAAUAAAUCAAGUUCUUGCAACAAAAGCCUCCUAAGAACCACUUCGAGCUGCAACUUUUGGAUGGUGUGGUACAAGCACGAGCUUGAUCCUGAGCUGCAGAAGGUGAGAGGAGGGGAAUGUGGGGCACCUGUGGAUGGCGCCGCCGGUCGCCGAAUCCGUCGCCGCCAUCCAUCGCCGUGGCCUUGCUCGCUGUCGGCGACAAGAGAGGGGAGGGGAGGAGAGGACAGGACAGG